UUACGGCCAUGUCACGUUGAAACACCGGUAACAGUACGAUCACUGAAGUUAAGCAACGUCGAGCCUGAUCAGUACCGAGAUGAGUGACCGUUUGGGAAUACCAAUUGCUGUAA